rnacentral:rRNA from 1 species
GACGAACGCUGGCGGCGUGCCUAAUACAUGCAAGUAGAACGCUGAAGCGAGGAGCUUGCUCUUCUUGGGUGAGUUGCGAACGGGUGAGUAACGCGUAGGUAACCUGCCUUGUAGCGGGGGAUAACUAUUGGAAACGAUAGCUAAUACCGCAUAACAUUGGAUGACACAUGUCUUUUAUUUGAAAGGGGCAAUUGCUCCACUACAAGAUGGACCUGCGUUGUAUUAGCUAGUAGGUGAGGUAAUGGCUCACCUAGGCGACGAUACAUAGCCGACCUGAGAGGGUGAUUCGCCAAAAUGGGACUUGGAAACGGCCCAGGAUCCUACGGGAGGGAGGAGGAGGGGAUCUUCGGGAAAGGGGGCAAACCCGACCGAGGAACGCCGCGGGAGGGAAGAAGGUUUUCGGAUCGGAAAGAUCUGUUGUAAGUGAAGAACGGGUGUGAGAGUGGAAAGUGCACACUGUGACGGUAGCUUAUCAGAAAGGGACGGCUAACUACGUG